UAACCAUAAUUGCAUACUUUCUUCCUUCUUCAAUCUGCAGUUUUUUCAUCGUUCGAUUCUUCUUCUUCAAUAGAGUAGAUGAGUUUAAGAUCUUUAUCGAUUCAAGGAGGUUGAAGAAACUAAAGAUGGCGGUUCUGAUGAAGCUUACUCUAAUCCCUCAAAAACCCAUUUCUUCUCAUUCGUUUCUGAUUCUUGCAGCUUCUUAUUGUACUAAUCUUCAUCCAUCUUCAAAAUCCACAACUGAAAUCGAAAGAAUCGCCAAAAUCAUCAACGACCAUCCAUUUCCCGAUCAACCUCUUCACCCCACUCUUCUUCACCUCAUUCCAUCUCCUCUUCCUUCAAACACUUUUCUCAACGACGUCCUUGGCCAACUCUUUGCAGCUCAUUCCAAUGGCCUCAAAGCCUUGGAGUUCUUCAAAUUCUGCCUCCAUCAUUCUCAAGCUCCCCCAACUUCUGACGCUUUCGAGAAGACCCUUCACAUUCUCUCCAGAAUGAGAUAUUUCGAUCAAUCAUGGGAGUUAAUGCGUGAGAUUCGACAAACUCACCCUUUUUUGCUUACUCUCAAGUCCAUGAGCAUCUUGCUUUCGAGGAUUGCGAAGUUUCUAUCAUUUGAAGAAACCAUUGAAGCGUUUCAGAGAAUGGAGAAUGAAGUGUUUGUUGGAAGGAAAUUUGGUACUGAGGAAUUUAAUGUACUCCUUCGAGCUUUUUGUACUCAGAGACAAAUGAAAGAGGCGCGAUCAGUGUUCCACAAGAUGUAUUCUCGAUUUCCCCCAAAUAUUAAAACCAUAAAUCUCUUGCUUUUAGGGUUUAAGGAAUCGAGUGAUAUUACUUCUGUUGAGCUUUUCUAUCAUGAGAUGAUUAAGAGAGGUUUUAAGCCAAAUGCUGUGACUUAUAGCAUUAGAAUUGAUGCAUAUUGCAAAAAGGGUUGUUUCGUGGAUGGUUUGAGAGUUUUUAAAGAAAUGGAGAGGGCAAAAUGUGAGCCAACAUUGGAAACAAUCACUACUCUUAUCCACGGAGCAGGGAUAGUCAAGGAUAAAACCAAAGCUCGCCAACUGUUUGAUGAAAUUCCUCUGAGAAAUUUGUGUCCUGAUAUUGGGGCUUAUAAUGCUUUGAUAAGUUCCUUGAUUAGGUCUGGUGAUGUAAAGUCUGCAGCAUCUGUAAUGGAAGAUAUGGAGGCUAAACACAUUGAACAUGACAGUGUGACCUACCACAUGAUGUUCUCAGGCUUGAUUCGAUUGGAAGAUGUUGGAGGUUUUUAUGAGUUGUAUAUCAAAAUGGUAGGGCGAAAUUUUGUGCCCAAAACACGAACGGCAGUGAUGAUAAUGAAGUUUUUCUGCGAAAAUCGUCGAGUUGAUUUGGGUUUGGGUUUCUGGGCUUAUUUGGUAGAGAAGGGAUACUGUCCUCAUAGUCAUGUGUUGGAUCUGUUGGUAACAGGAUUAUGUGCCCGUGGAAUGGUCCUUCAAGCAUUUGAAUGCUCUAAACAAAUGUUGGAGAGAGGGAGACAGAUGAGUGAAGCAGCAUUUCUGAUAAUGGAGAGAUGUCUUUUGAAGGCACAUGCAACAGACAAAUAUGAGGAGCUUGAACGGUUGAGGAAGAAGCUUAAAACUGUUUUGCCCCCCACUAAAUCUGCUCUUAUCUGAUUCCAGCAUCAUAGACAAAUAUAUUGGCAGAUUCUUAAAGGGGAUAUUCGCCUGCAUAUAGUGUAGACCAAUUCUCUCCAUAUCUGAAUAAUCAUGUAUACAUGUGCACUUACGGUUACAGAAAUACUGUACCGUUAAAGCAACCAUGGAUCCUCUGAUGUUGCAAGUAGCCAUGGCGUUGAAAUUUCAACGGAACACAAGGAAGCCUCGAUCGCUUAAGAUAGCAUGGCCAGAUUACAAACUCAAGACGUCAAGACCAAGUAUGCUUGGGUACUGUACUGAAGCUUGCAUCUCAUGAUCGAUUGCUGCAGUUUCCUUUGCUUACGGUCUUAAGGAUACGUUAGACUAACUAUUUAGACUAAAAUUAGGUGAAGUUAAGAUACUUACCUUCAGCUAUUGUAAUAUCACUAAAUUUGUAGAAAGUUUUAACAUCAGGGAGCAAAUUGACAUUAAGAAAAGAAUUAGAAGUAGAUAUUGUACAUCUUGUGCUUAUACAUGUAUUGAUGGUCUAUCCAAAUUUCAGAACCUAUAAUUCUUUUGUA